rnacentral:tRNA from 1 species
GCCUGGGUGGCUCAGUCAGUUAAGCAUCUGACUUCGGCUCAGGUCAUGAUCUUGCGAUUCCGUGGGUUUGAGCCCCACAUCAGGCU